GUGUUGCAAUUUAGUCCUUUUAGUCUCUUUUUGUUUUUAAAUUCGCCCAGUAUUUUUUAUUUUAUUUUGAUUUAGUCUGUUUUCAACAUUUUUUUAUUAUUUAAUUAAUUAUUUUUAGUAUCAUUAUUGCUGUCAUUAUUAUUAUCUUUAUUAUUAUUAUAUCAUUAAUAUUUUUAUUAUUGUCAUUAUUUACUCACUUAUGUCUUGUUAUUUUUAAAUUUUGUUAUAUAUAUAUAUAUGCAUACUUACAUUGUUUUAUUUUACGAUAUACAUACUUAUAUAUUUUAUUUUUAUGUAAUAUAUAUGUAUGCACAUACCCAUUUUUUAUUUAUAUAUAUACAC
rnacentral:lncRNA from 1 species